rnacentral:rRNA from 1 species
GACAGAGGGUGCAAACGUUGUUCGGAAUCACUGGGCGUAAAGGGUGCGUAGGCGGGUCUUUUAAGUCAGGGGUGAAAUCCUGGAGCUCAACUCCAGAACUGCCUUUGAUACUGAGGAUCUUGAGUAUGGGAGAGGUGAGUGGAACUGCGAGUGUAGAGGUGAAAUUCGUAGAUAUUCGCAAGAACACCAGUGGCGAAGGCGGCUCACUGGCCCAUUACUGACGCUGAGGCACGAAAGCGUGGGGAGCAAACAGG